rnacentral:tRNA from 1 species
GCCCGGGUGCUGAAAUUGGUAGACAGGCAUGUUUGAGGGACAUGUGUACUUCGUACGUGGGGGUUCGAGUCCCCCUCCGGGCACAA